rnacentral:rRNA from 1 species
AUGCGGCAACCACCGGGUUAUGAAAGUCAUAGCACACCACAUUAUGUAUGUAAGUUGGAUAAAGCAUUAUAUGGACUUAAGCAGGCUCCAAGAGCAUGGUAUUCUAGGCUGAGCAUGCAAUUACAACAUCUUGGGUUCACGCCAUCCAAAGCAGAUACAUCCUUGUUCUUUUAUAGCAAAGGCAAUAUCACUGUUUUUGUGCUUGUUUAUGUUGAUGAUAUAAUUGUUGCUAGUUCAAGUCAAGAGGCCACCACUUGUUUGCUUAAGGAUUUAAAACUUGAAUUUGCUCUCAAGGAUCUAGGUGAUCUUCACUAUUUUCUUGGCAUAGAAGUAAAGCAAGUCAGAGAUGGCAUACUUCUCUCACAAGAAAAAUAUACAGCUGAUGUUCUAAAGAGGGUGGGAUUGGAGAAUUGCAAACCUGUCAGCACACCAAUUUCCACCUCAGAAAAACUUACAGUUGAUAGUGGAGAAGCUCUUGGUCCAGAAGAUGCAACAAAUUAUAGAAGUGUUAUUGGUGCUUUGCAAUAUUUAACACUUACACGUCCAGAUAUUUCUUAUUCAGUGAACAAGGUAUGUCAAUAUUUGCAUGCUCCUGGAACUACUCAUUGGACGGCAGUUAAAAGAAUCCUAAGGUAUCUUCAGUAUUCUCAAGGGCUUGGACUUUAA